rnacentral:rRNA from 1 species
CCUGAACGCUGGCGGCGUGGCUAAGACAUGCAAGUCGUACGGGUGCAGCAAUGCACCAGUGGCGCACGGGUGAGUAAUGUAUCGCUAACGUACCCCGAAGUCUGGGAUAGCUGAGGGAAACUUCAGGUAAUACCAGAUGACAUCACUGAGAAGCAUUUCUCGGUGCUCAAAGUAGCAAUACGCUUUGGGAGCGGGCGAUAUCGUAUCAGCUAGUUGGUGAGGUAACGGCUUACCAAGGCGACGACGCGUAGCUGGUCUGAGAGGACGGCCAGCCACAUUGGGACUGAGACACUGCCCAGACUCCUACGGGGGGCUGCAGUAACGAAUCUUCCGCAAUGCACGAAAGUGUGACGGAGCGACGCCGCGUGUGGGACGAAGUUCUUCGGAAUGUAAACC